GACAGAGGAUGCAAGCGUUAUCCGGAAUGAUUGGGCGUAAAGCGUCUGUAGGUGGGCUUUUUAAAGUCCGCCGUCAAAUCCCCAGGGCUCAACCCUGGACAGGCGGUGGAAACUACCAAGCUGGAGUACGGUAGGGGGCAGAGGGAAUUUCCGGUGGAGCGGUGAAAUGCGUAGAGAUCGGAAAGAACACCAACGGCGAAAGCACUCUGGCUGGGCCGACACUGACACUGAGAGACGAAAGCUAGGGGAGCGAAUGGG
rnacentral:rRNA from 1 species